rnacentral:rRNA from 2 species
AACUUCUGAAUGUUGACCUCGGAUCAGGUAGGAAUACCCGCUGAACUUAAGCAUAUCAAUAAGCGGAGGAAAAGAAACCAACAGGGAUUGCCCUAGUAACGGCGAGUGAAGCGGCAACAGCUCAAAUUUGAAAUCUGGCUCUCGGGCCCGAGUUGUAAUUUGUAGAGGAUGCUUUUGAUGCGGUGCCUUCCGAGUUCCCUGGAACGGGACGCCAUAGAGGGUGAGAGCCCCGUCUGGUUGGAUGCCAAAUCUCUGUAAAGCUCCUUCGACGAGUCGAGUAGUUUGGGAAUGCUGCUCUAAAUGGGAGGUAUAUGUCUUCUAAAGCUAAAUACCGGCCAGAGACCGAUAGCGCACAAGUAGAGUGAUCGAAAGAUGAAAAGCACUUUGAAAAGAGAGUUAAAAAGUACGUGAAAUUGUUGAAAGGGAAGCGUUUAUGACCAGACUUGGGCUUGGUUAAUCAUCUGGGGUUCUCCCCAGUGCACUUUUCCAGUCCAGGCCAGCAUCAGUUUUCGCCGGGGGAUAAAGGCUUCGGGAAUGUGGCUCUCUCCGGAGAGUGUUAUAGCCCGUUGCGUAAUACCCUGGCGGGGACUGAGGUUCGCGCAUCUGCAAGGAUGCUGGCGUAAUGGUCAUCAACGACCCGUCU